UCUGGCGGCAGUAGCGCGGUGGUCCCACCUGACCCCAUGCCGAACUCAGAAGUGAAACGCCGUACGCCGAUGGUAGUGUGGGGUCUCCCCAUGCGAGAGUAGGGAACUGCCAGAC
rnacentral:rRNA from 1 species